rnacentral:rRNA from 1 species
UGGAACGACUGCUAAUCCCGGAUGAGCCUUUGUGGUAAAAGAUUAAUUGCCUAGAGAGGAGCUCGCGUCCGAUUAGUUAGUUGGUGGGGUAAUGGCUUACCUUUAUGCGAUCGUUGCCUGGUUUGACAGGAUGACCAGCCACACUGGGUCUGAAACUCGGCCCCCACUCCUAUUGUUUGCAGCCGUGGGGAAUUCUCCGCAAUGGGCCAACCCCUGAUGGAUCAUUACCUCGUGGGGGAGGAGGACCCUAGGGUCGCCUCCGCUUUUGCAAGGAAUACUUACUGACGGUCCUGAGGAAAAACCCUCGGCUAACUCCGGGCCAGCUGCCGCUGCACUUUGUAGGAGGCAAGCGUUGGCCGGAAUUUUGGCCGCUUAGCUGUCCGCAGGGGGUAUUGUAAGUCUGCUGUCAAAUAUUGGUGGCAACUUCCGAUGGUCAGAGCAAACUGCUAAA